rnacentral:rRNA from 1 species
UACGUAGGGACCGAGCGUUGUCCGGAAUCAUUGGGCGUAAAGAGCGUGUAGGCGGCUUGCUAAGUCUUGCGUGAAAUCUCGGGGCUCAACCCCGAGCGGUCGUGGGAAACUGGCAGGCUAGAGUGCGGAAGAGGAGAGUGGAAUUCCUGAUGUAGCGGUGAAAUGCGCAGAUAUCAGGAGGAACACCCGUGGCGAAAGCGGCUCUCUGGGACGGUACUGACGCUGAGACGCGAAAGCGUGGGGAGCAAACAGG